UUCCUCCUGCCGCCGCCACAGUCUCCUUCCUCCACCUGAUCCCCUUCUUCCUCCUCAUCCCGCGAGCUCCCCUCCAUGGCUGAGUCUCCCCUUGCUCUCUCCCCCUCAAGCUCCCCGCGGCCCCCUUCCCCGAGCUCCUCUGCGCCGCGCCGCUCUCCCUCUCCCGUGGCCGCCUGCCCUCUGCACCCGCGCCGCCUCCACCUCGCCCGCCCGCGUCUACUGCUCCCUUACUCCUCGCCGGCGCUUGUCCUCCGCCCCAUGCCGCCGAGCUCCCUCGCAGCGCUGCUCCGCCUCGCCGCGCGCCCUCCUCUCCCCGGCCGCGCGCGCGCACCUUCUGGGUCCUCCUCGCCUGGCCGCUGGCCGCUCCGCCCUCUGCUCCCGUCGGCCGCGCCCGCCUAGUGUCCCGAUGCCGCCUCCUCCGCACACGUCGACCGCUUCGCCUUCCUAGGUAUAACGUGCGACCGUUCCGUGAAGCCACCGUUCUUUGGCGUAGACCCGUAGGUGGUGAAUAUAUGUAAUGCGUGUAUUGUAUGAGAUGCCCGUGUUUGUAUCGAUAGCCCUAGCUGCAGGUACGUCGUUGCCACCGGCGUGUGCAACCCCGACCGAGUUGUUUGUUUGGUGUGUCGUUCUUGUUUUAAAGCAGGCAUCGCACCUAUUCAUGUCAUUGUCAUGCAUGCUAAUACAACUAUCACAUUGUUGUGUGUAGUUAAUCAAUUAAACUCUAUUCCUUGCAUAUGGAGUUGUUUAGAUGCUAUGCGUAGAUGUUUCAGACUCCAUUUAACUUGGUAAAUUGUAAAUCGGAUUUACUAUCGGAAUACUUAAUAUGUCAUGCAUCAUCCCUAUGUCACGCAUCAUCCCUUGAUUGCGCAUAUUAAUUACCAUGUGUAUCGUGUAUGCUUAUACUUUAUUUUUAUGUCGUGUAUUUGCUUCUUCCUCGCUAGUCUUUGAUUCCUACGACGAUGACUACGCUUGUGUUCUUCUUCCAGGAUUCUUGCUCAAUUCCGGACAAUUGAGUACUCCAGGCAAGCAGCCCUUCCUUGACCAUGUUGAUUAUAAUUAUUGCCUCUCCCUCAAUCUUGCAAUAAGUUACGAUCUCAGUCUUAUCACAAUACCUCUAGGAUUGCAUAGCUUUUUAGUCAGCUCUACUCAAAUGCCUUUGUCUUGUCACUUGUCCUAUUACCAUGUCACAUGUUUGUUGUUGCCCUACAUCUUGGUCAUUAGAUGUCAUUCUUAGUUGCGAGUCUAGUGUCCUUACUUUGGGGUUCCACAAUUGCUACAUCCACAUGCUACUUUAUGUUAAUUGCAACUAUUUAACUGUGAUAUGAUAUUAAACUAUAACAAGGCAACGAUGGGAGGCCGUGCUCUAACGCAUUGAUGUUUUGUUCCAUUGGCGCCAACCUAAGGACUGAGUUCUCGUUUUUGCCGAUCCAAAAAACUUCACGCUAACCGCUCGUGGGAGAAUAUAUGAGCUCCUCCUCGGCUUAGUACUCGUUUCAUAGCUCUUCCAGGGGCCACAUAGUUCGGGCGUUCCAUUUGGCAUUUGCAUUGCAUGCACACAGAGAUUCGUGAAGACUUGUUGGUGACAUUGCAUUCAUAUAGGAUUGCGGCACUAGUCUGGAGUGGUCAUUCUGCGGACACUGAACCACUACCAGCUGUCCUCGCAACUCUUGAGUCCGUACGACGCUUCGGCCGGGCUCUCGUUUCGGAUUAGACUCAGUUGGGUUGGCCUCCUGGAUUAGUUGUGAGGCUUGGAAAUGUCGUGUCGCCCAAUCCUGCCGACACACGUCUUUGUGUGUUCCUACUCGAGUGGCAAUAAGGGUUGGACGAACGUGUACGGGUAAAUUGGCACACCCUGCAGGGAUAAAUCUUUCGGAAAGCCGUGUCCGCGGUUAUGGACAACUUGGUUGGUCAUUACUUGAUCAUAGAGAACUCAAUCAAUUUAAUUAACUUAAUCUCUUAAACUUGAGUAAUAAUUACCCUUUAAUCAUGGAUAUGCUUAAAACUGCUUAAGUGUGAGUUUCCUUUGGAUUGCUUCCUCACAGGGUGUUAAGGGGGUGAUAUGAGGAUUGUGUUGUUUGGUGUUUAGUAAAUAGGUUAAUCACCUUACACCUUAGUAGACGCUUCUCUUCCUCUCAUUAGACGUUGUUAUUAGAGUGUCCCUCCAGAUAUUGUUGCUGCUGCAUAACCGCACCAUAUUUAUCCAUCCUUUGAGACAUGUUGCAUACUAGCAUAGAUCUCCCCAUAAGUCUUGCGAGUACUUUGUACUCAGUUGCUUUCCAACGUUGUUUUCUUCAGAGGUUCCAGCAGAGCAGGUGAGCCGCUAGCCUCUUCGUGGAGCACGACGUUGGAUUCGAUGUUUAGCCAGGAGAUCCAGAUCAGGGUUCUGAGACUCGUGGCGGGUUUCCUUCCAGCUUCCAGCCUCUUCAGGCCAUGCUGUAAUCUUGUCCGUACUCGGGCAUAAUUCGACUUCCGCUGAUGUAAUGAUGUAAUGUUGGGACAUGUGUCCUCUCUUUGUAAUAUUUGUUAUUCUGCUCCUUGUAUGAGCUUUGUAACUACUCUCUUCUGUAGAGUUUUG
rnacentral:lncRNA from 1 species